rnacentral:lncRNA from 1 species
AGGGCCGCCCCCAGCGCUCUGAGGCAGGGGACGGGCGCUGAACCGAGCGGUGGGCGGAGGAGCGACUGCCCCUCCGACCGUUGGGGGCGCGGCCGUUGCUGCUGCUGCUGCCCCUCGACUCCGCGGAACGUACUUGAGUGCGUGGCGGUUGCGGGUUCUGUAGGCCGCGCGGGAGCUCGAGCCGUUGGUGUUGCUGCCUCUCGCCCCCGCGGGAGCACCGAGCACAAAACUGUUCUCGCAGGUGCUUCCCCGUUGGCCCUACGGAGCGAUAGGAACCAGAGCAGCGGCUCGUGCUGCCUCGAGUCAAGCUGCGGCGCUCUCAAAAGGACACUUUCCCAUGCCAUUCUGUAAGGCCUUCAAGGAUCAUCAUUUUGAAGAGGCUAGCAGUAAACAGCCCCAGCUGACCACUAAUCCUCUCAAGCAGCUUCCUUCUCUGGCCCUUGGAGACCCACAUCAUUAUAUCCUCAAGGACCAUCAUGAUCUGUAAUAAGUUAAGUAGUUGUUACUAUUCUAUACCAAAAAGUUACCAAGCCCCCAUGCCCAGCCAGCCCUCACAGCUACCAGGGUUUAAAAACAAAAACAAACAAACAAAAAAACCACACACACACACACAAAAACCACUCCCCUGUACUCACCAUGCAGUGUGCUCUUAAAGGCUUCUGAAGCAAUGGGAAUUGAGAGACAUAGUAGUUUUAUACACCUUAGAUGGGAAAAUGUAGACUGUUAUUGUCUGCUGUCUAGCAUCCCACUCCCCAAACACACACACCUAACAAUGGCUUUCUAUUUGUUUCACUAACCUCAGCUGGGGUAUCCUUUAGGAGUAUCCCUUCUACACCUGCUGAGCAACUCAGUCUGAGGAGGAGAGAGAGAACCAGACAAGAGAAGACAUGGUUUUCAAAUUGAUCCAGACUGCCCAGCACAGAGUCUAUGAGAUUCAAAAAUGGUGGGACCAUAUGCUUGAGGAGAGAGAGAGGAAGACAAAGAUUGAGAGAUGCACCAAGACAUCCUGCAGCUCUUAAAGGUCUCCAAUCCUUCCAGCAGCAGUGUCCCUGGCAUCGAGCCCCAAUGGACAAUAAUGAGAACUGCCGUGAACAUACCUGCUGCCUGAUGUGAUGUAGCUGCAUGCACCUUGCUAUUUAUUUAUAUAUUGUAAAUGAU